rnacentral:piRNA from 1 species
CACACGUUUAUUGGGAAAGCUUGAUUGCAG